CUAUCCGGGCGGGGCGGGGAAGACGAAAAGCUCUUGGUGAGGCUGGGCCUUUCUGGGGACGAUGCCGUCCGCAUUCUCAGUGAGCUCGUUCCCCGUCAGCAUCCCCGCCGUGAUCAUGCAGACAGACUGGACGGAGCCGUGGCUGGUCGGGCUGGUCAUCUUCCACGUACUCUGCCUGCUGCUCACCUGCUUCUCAUCCCGGAGGUAUAAGCUACAGGUCGGGCACUUCCUGUGUCUGGGUGAGUAGGACCAGCAGCGAUUCUGUGGCUCAGGUUGCUGUGUGAUAGACAGUGUGCCUAUUCUCUCGUAGCCUCCUGCUGUGUGAAUACAUUUGUAAGGCUUCCAGCUGUGCCUGUCCUGGCGGGAAGUGCCAACCAGGAAGCAAAGUUCUGGGCAUAAAAUGACGUGGUGCCCAAGUCAGUUUUAAAGAUAAUGAGAAGGAGCAGAGUUGUGUGGCAUCCCCACGGAGAAGGAGUGGAGGCUGCAGGUGGCAGUCGUCCACCACCUCCGGUCCCUGUGCAGCUCUUGGCCUCCUGCCCUGGUCCCCACCCCAGCCCGUACCACCAGGGAGGGCCACCCAGGGGCUGGGCUGUUCCUGCUGCUCCUGUUAUCCUCAGGCCAGAUCCCCCCCCCGCCCCCGUCUUUGCCACCAGCGCAAGUCUGAGGGGCCAGGCAGGGGACCCCAGCCCUUGCCCCAGGGCCCUCGGGUCCCACCACUGGCCUUGCCAGCUGACCUGUGACCAGGUGGGGCAGGCCGGCCUGCUCUGGUGUCUGGCCGGAAGCUCCUGCCGAGGGUGUGCCCAGCGGACUGACCAUCAGACUCCGUGUUCGCCUGGGUUUCCCUUCGAGUGGCUGCCUUCUGUCAGCGACAACAGGAACAGGUCUCAGCAGAUCCCUCUGUGCUGUAGCUGUCGCUUCUUUCCUCUCAGUGACGCUGGUCUACUGCGCCGAGUACAUCAAUGAGGUUGCGGCCAUGAACUGGAGGUGAGAACCAGCGCCCCGCCCGCCCGCCCGCACCCCAGGCUCCUUCCCGGCGGGGAGCUCAGCACCCCGUCUUCUCCGGCGCCCCCGACACGUCCUCGCUGUCCAGGACACCAGCGCACGCCUGUCUCCCUGGCCGCUCCCUCCUCGCCUCUGUGUCCUUCCUGCUGCAGCCUCUGCCGGGGUGACCCACUCCGUGUCCCGUGUCCCGUCCCCACGAAACGUCCGCCCUCCCCGCCCCACCCCCUGCAAACUGUCCCCAGCUGCCUGCUCUGUCCCCAGCUGCCUGCUCUGUGGGGGCAGCUGCUUCUCCUGGCCUCUUAGGGCAGAGACCCCGCAGUCAGGCAGGGGUCCUUGGGGACGGCGGAGGGGGGCUUUGAAACCAUCAGUGAGGGGAGCACCCCCCCCAGGUCUCCUGACUGCCUCCCAAGGAGCGUCUGACCCCAGGGGUCACGGAGCAGAGUUCUGGCCCCCGGCGCUCAGCCCCCCGGCUGCAGGCCCCUACUGGGGGGUCGGGGGCCCUCCCUCCUCCACAGGCAGACCCCUCCCUCCCCCCCAACGAUUUCCUCGGAGCCCCAGCCUCCCAGGCUGCCUCGGACCCGAUAGUCAGCGCCUGUUCCCUGUGACCCCCGAGCCCUGGCGGAGCGGGAGAAGGUCAUAUCCUCGACUGGGUCACUGGCUGGUGACGUGAGGCCUGUGUCCUGCCCCCGCCCGGCCACACGGGUCCCCCCCGCCUGCUCCCCCGCCUGCUCCCCCGCCUGCUCCGGGGCGGGGGCCUGAGCUCGCAGAGGCGGCCACCCACCCUGUCCUGCUUCCCAGGAAGGCCUGCAGAGCCUGCCCUACAGGGUUGAGGAGGCCGCCGGCUCGCGCAGUGGUCUCUGCCCCCACCUCGCCUUCCUGUGUGGAGGUGCCUGCCGGUCCCUGCAUGUCCUCUGUCCCCAGGUGCCUGUGGCCUCGGGCCUGGGUCCUGGUGGGAGGACCCGCCUCGCUGAGGGGCGACACCGUGAGCAGGGGCCGUCGCAAGGGCCGCUGGGCUGCGCCAGGUAACCGCCAGACCCUUCUGCGUGCAGGUCCUUCUCAAAGUACCAGUAUUUCGACUCGAGGGGGAUGUUCGUGUCCCUGGUCUUCUCGGCACCGCUGCUGCUCAACGCCCUGGCCAUCGUGAUCCUGUGGGUGCGCAAGACGCUGGCGGUGAUGAGCGACCUGAGGACCUUACAGCAGCGCCGGGGGCGGCCGAAGCAGCAGUGACGGCUCUGCCCCCGGCUGGCGCCUGGGCAUCCAGACCCGCCCCGCGUCCCGAGACGCUUGGGCUGGCUUUGAAGGGCGCUCGCCCGGCCUGGGUCCACCCAGAAGGUCUGAGUCUCCCUAGUUAAACUGUAAAUGGAGCCCCUGCAGUCAAGCCUGAGCUCGGGACACCCUGUCUGUCCAUGUGGGAGGGUUGAGGGGUGGACAGCGCCAUCCACGCGUGGGCACCCCCAUUGGCCCCUGUCACCCCCACCCUCCCCGUCAGCCCCCUGUCACCUCUAUCACUCCCCCAUCACCCCUGUCACCCCCAUGCUCCCCGUCAGCCCCCUGUCACGGUCACCCCUGUCACCCCUGUCACUGCCAUCACCCUGGUCUGGCCUUCGUGGCGACGGCCUCUCCAGGCAGGGCUGCCGCUGGACAGGGCAGGAGGGGCCGCCUGGCCUCUGUGCAGUUGGAGGCGUCACGGCGCCGGCGGAGGCCGGAGUCGGGAUCUUCAGAGGCGGCAGCCGCGCGAGCCCCUUGAGUUGUGCUUCAGGAAGGAACGUCGCCAUUAAAACAGUCAGCAGCUGCCUGGUUCAACUAAGAGGUUUUAUGGCAAAUACCGAGACGGGUUCUGUCCCUUGGUUCCUGCCUCUUACAUUCUGCUCGGGGACAUGCCACCGCCUCUUCUGUUGGAGCAGGUGCGCUGAUUCGGUGUCACGGCCGCGCUGCGGACUAGACCUGCAGCUGGAGGGUGGGGGCCGCAUGUCUAAACUCAGCGUUUGAGAAAGAGGAGGCGGUUGGCUCCUGAUGGGGUUUGAAAAAAUAGCUUGCGAGCCUUCCUGCUGUGACUCAAAGGGAUCAGCGGCAUCUCUGCAGCGCUGGGCGCGGGUUUGAUCCCUGGCCGGGUGCAGUGGGUUAAGGCUCUGACAGGGCUGCAGCUGCAGUGUAGGUCACGCUGGGACGUGGCUCUGAUCCUGGCCCAGGAAAGCCAUGUGCCAUGGGGUGGCCUGAAAAAAAGAGAGGAAGUAGUUUAUGAAUAGUUGUCUUAAUUUUAAGAAGAUAUUUUCCCUUAAAUGAAGUAUAUUUUUCAAAUUUCAAAAGAAAAAAAAUUGGUCACGUGAAAGCAUUAUAUUUAGUGGUUCAGAGGGUAACACUGCUGGAUGAUGGGAUUAAAUCUUGAAAUCCAGACGUAAAGACAGCUGUAAACUCUUAGCAGAGAAAUUAUUUCCUUAAUUUUGACGUUGGUUUUAGAACCGAGUCGAUAGAACUUCCUAGAUCAAUCUCUUGGAGCUUUUAACCUCACAUCCUUUCUUGAUGUGAAUGUCUGUACUGAACAUUGAAAAAAUUGACUCAGCAACAGCAUGUCACGUGAAAUCCAGUUUUAGAUGUCUUGCACCUGAUGACAUCCUGAGGGUGCGUUGCUGAAAGUGACCAGUUCAGGGUGUUCCUUGGUGUCCUGGCUUCAGAAGAGUCGCCUGCAUCUGAGCAGCUCCCGGGAGCCCACAGCGGCAGGGGCUGCGGGCGGGGUCGAGUGUCCCCUCCAGCGCCGGCCUGGGGCCAGGGGACAGAAGUGCCCGUGGCAACGUCCUGCCCUUGCCCUCGGCCCCUCGGAGCCCAGGGAGUGCAGGCAUUUCCACCGUCCGGAGCCACUCCUGUCAGCGCGAGACUGUGACUGGCUCUCAGCUGUCCUGUGAAGACCGGGUAAUGACAUCGUCAUUGGCCUGGAUGUGGGGUCAGACGUCCUGUCGAAAAACACGACGUAGGGCCUUUUCGUUCACUGGUGUGUGUAAGUUUUGGGGAGUCGUUGUGUUUUAUUUUCACAAACACAACCUGUUUUUAAAACUUUUAGUAGGUUUCUCUCCAGUGGCUUAAAGGGCAGUGUUUACGAACACCAGGCGGUCCUCAUGCUUGGGACACACUCCAAGCCGUCGCUGUCCCAGCACUUCAGGUCACCUCAAGUGUGGGGACUGUGGCCCUUUCGGGGCAUGGGGGUGCUGCUGGGGCUUGGGGCCUCCAGGCGGGUGGAAGGGCAGCCUGUGUCUGUCAUCUGCGGACGAGGAGACGAGAGACACGCGUGGUCAAGGAGCAUUUAGCCCAUUCCAGACCUGCGACCUUCAGUUUGUCAGUUGCUGUGUAAUAAAGUCUUAUUUUAUUUCAAG
rnacentral:lncRNA from 1 species